UACGGGGGGAGCAAGCGUUGUUCGGAUUUACUGGGCGUAAAGGGCGCGUAGGCGGCGUGACAAGUCACUUGUGAAAUCUCCGGGCUUAACUCGGAACGGUCAAGUGAUACUGUCGUGCUAGAGUACAGAAGGGGCAACUGGAAUUCUCGGUGUAGCGGUGAAAUGCGUAGAUAUCGAGAGGAACACCUGCGGCGAAGGCGGGUUGCUGGGCUGACACGGACGCUGAAGCGCGAAAGCUAGGGGAGCGAACGGG
rnacentral:rRNA from 1 species